GGUCCUGUAGUGUAGCGGUCUUAUCACUUGAGAUUCUGAGUGUCGUGGCCUCGGUCGUACACCUCUCUUCUCAAAACCCAGGUUCGAGUCCUGGCAGGACCU